rnacentral:rRNA from 1 species
AUUGAACGCUGGCGGCAGGCUUAACACAUGCAAGUUGAACGAGUGGCGGACGGGUGAGUAUUGCUCGGGAAUCUGGCUUAUGGAGGGGGAUAACGACGGGAAACUGUCGCUAAUAUCGCGUACCACAGGAUGGGCCCUAGUGGGAUUAGGUAGUUGGUGGGGUAAUGGCCUACCAAGCCGUCGAUCUCUAGCUGGUUUGAGAGGCUGACCAGCCACACCGGGACGGGGACACGGCCCGGACUCCUACGGGAGGCAGCAGUGGGGAAUAUUGCGCAAUGGGGGCAACCUGACGCAGCCAUGCCGCGUGAAUGAAGAAGGCCUUCGGGUUGUAAAGUUCUUUCGGUAACGAGGCGUUAAUCACAGAAGAAGCACCGGCUAACUCCGUGCCAGCAGCCGCGGUAAUUC